rnacentral:miRNA from 1 species
AACAUUCUGAUUGACUGGGAAUAC